ensembl:snoRNA
CAUGCCCCUACAGGCGUUGCAGAUAUGGUUGCUGUGCCAUGUUUGUGUCAUCAGGUGGCAGAGAGGAAGAGGCUGUGUCUACGCUCAGUGUUCUGAAAUCAUGAGCACUCAGAAUGAUUAGCAGCCUGACAUUU